rnacentral:snRNA from 1 species
AGAUGUGAGGGCAAUCUGGCUGUGAUAUCUGUCACCCCAUUGAUCGCCAGAGAGGAUUUGGCUGAUCAGGCUGGCUAGGCAGGUGUCCCCUUCCUCCCUCACUGCUCAAUGUGCAUCCCUCCUGAAGGUGCUUGCUCAGUCAAAGAGGAAGGCCUUCCUGGAAUAGAGAAGGACCGGUCUUCAGUGGAGGGCAUAUGAGAAGCUGAAAGGGGUUGGGCAGUAGCGCAGCAGGUUAAGUGUACAUGGCACACAAAGGGCAAGGACUGGCAUAAGGAUCCCGGUUCGAGCCCCCAGCUCCCCACCUGCAAGGGGGUCGCUUCACAAGUGGUGGAUCAGGUCUGC